AUUGAACGCUGGCGGCAGGCCUAACACAUGCAAGUCGAACGAGUGGCGGACGGGUGAGUAAUGUCUGGGAAACUGCCUGAUGGAGGGGGAUAACUACUGGAAACGGUAGCUAAUACCGCAUACCAUAGGAUGUGCCCAGAUGGGAGUAGCUAGUAGGUGGGGUAAAGGCUCACCUAGGCGACGACCCCAAGCUGUUCUGAGAGGAUGACCAGCGAAACUGGGACGGCGACACAGUCCAGACUCAUACGGGAGGCAGAAGUGGGGAAUAGUGCACAAGGGGCGCAAGCCUGAUGCAUCCAGGCCGCGUGUAUGAAGAAGGCCUUCGGGUUGUAAAGUACUUUCAGCUGUGAUGCGUUACCCGCGGAAGAAGCACCGGCUAACUCCGAGCCAGCAGCCGCGGUAAUUC
rnacentral:rRNA from 1 species